UUUCAAAGUACUCCAGGAAACUUUCUAUUCCAUUUUUUUAACGUUGAUGUUGUGCAAUCAAGAGCAAUUAGCCGAGAACGCAUACUUGGAAGAACCGUUCAGUGGUACAAAAUGGCUAUGAGUCCGAAAGGAAUUGAAACGCUGCAAGUGAAUAAGUCAAUCAAAUAUCAAGCUGUACUGCAACAAUUUGUGAUUUCUCAUAGUUGAAUUGGUAAAAUGGCAGUACAAGCAGGAAGUGCAGAAUAUGCAUUGAUAGAAUGCACUGAUAAAGUAUUUUCGUUGAAUUACGAAAUGAUAAGUGUCGAUGGAUCAAAAGUGACGAUUAAAACGUCGAAAACGCGGUGGCUAAUAAUAGCAGUUUACAUUUUCUAUUGUGGAAUAAGUGCUUUUCAAUGGGUGGAAUAUUCCAUUGUCGGAAAUAUCAUAGCAAGAUAUUAUCACGUGACAGUGGAGAAGGUAGAUUAUACGGCAAUGGCGUACAUGCUCUUCCCCAUACCGCUAGUAAUUCCGGGCUCUCACAUUGCUGAACGCAUUGGUCUGAGGUGGACCAACAUCGUUGGUAGUGGUCUAAUCUGCCUUGGCUCGUGGGUUAAAAUCUUCUCAGUCCAUCCCGAUCGAUUCCUCUUGACACUUGGUGGUCAAUCAUUUCUCGCAGUUAGUCAGGAUGAACCGAAAUAUCCACCCAGUGAAACACGUGCACUCCAGAAAAAGGAACAUGAUGGAACAGAAAGGACACUCGUAGAAUCAAUUAAAAGACUGAUGACCAACGCAAGCUACUUGAUACUUUGUAAUUCAUACGGAUUGGGAAUAGGAGUGUUGAAUGCCCUCAGCACUAUGUUGAAUCAAAUUGUCUUGGCUCGCUUUGAGGAUGGUGAGGAAUUUGCUGGUAGAUUAGGGCUCAUCAUCCUUGUGAUGGGAAUGUUCGGUUCCAUCACAUUCGGCCUUAUUCUUGAUAAGACUCAGAAAUUUAAGGAGACUACAGUAACGGUUUAUCUUUCUACUUUAUGCAGUCAGAUAUUUUUCACCAUUUCAAUAUUGAUCGAGAGUAAUUCAUUAACCUACAUAGCAGCUUCCAUCCUCGGAUUCUUUAUAUCGGGUUACUUAGCCUUGGGCUAUGAAAUGUGUGCCGAGUAUACCUAUCCGGAGUCGGAGUCCCUGGCCACUGGAAUUUUAAACAUAGGAAAUAACUUAUACGGUAUAAUCCUGAUCCUAGUUUGCAGCCAACUGAAAAAGUACUACGGCGAUGUUGCAGUACACAUUUGUCUUUGUUCAGCCCUCUUGGUCGGAUUGAUCCUGACAGUGAUGACUAAGGAUGAACAGAGACGUCAGAACGCCAAGAGAAAUAAUAAGUUCACAGUGUCUCGGAGUUAUUAAAGGAUAAUUGUCAAGUGGAGGACUCAACGAUGAGGAUGAUUUAUUAUGAGACGGAUGAAUUGACCUGAAGAAGGAGUCGAAAUUAAACAGGAGGUAAAAUUGUGAGUGAGAAUGGAAUGGAAUUAUGCGCUUGCGUGCGACAAGCAAUCUCAUGCCGGAAAUGUCAACGGUGAACGGUAUUACCGGAGAAGAAAAUUGAUGAGGAACAGGGGUACGGAGUUAUUCUCAAGGAUAACAGAGUUCCUGGUUUGGGUAUUUGAGAAUAAUAUGUAAAUACACAUGGACUAAACUCCUGUACAAUUUAUAAAUUGUUCAUAAUCAUUGAAAAAGGAAAGUUUGUUUUCCUAAUAUAAACUUUCAAUACCAAUAGUGUGAUAUUAUACAUUAGUUAUAAUAUCAUCUUUAUAUUGUUGUUUUAUAUUUCCACGUUGUUUUGUCUUUGUGUGCAAUGUACGAUUAUAAACUCUCGUUUUCAUUCCAUAGAGAAUUAUUUGUUGCAUAACAAUAGUUUUAAUAGUUGUAACAAGUGAUACAGUACUGGUGUGACCAUAAUUAUCUGCGCAGGAAGAAUUACAGUGAUUUUCUUUUCCGAAUGAUUUUUAAUAAACCCACCGUUAUUUCCUGCAUUAUCAACGAACAGCUCUGAAAUAAUUAUGAUUCACUUUGUAUACAUUUAAUAAAUUUAUUAUUAUACCAUCGGUCAGGCAAAUAACAGUAUAGUAGAAUCCUAUUAUAGUCGCACCUCUCUACUACCUCCAGGCUCCAACUUGUAAACAAUCCGUUGUUUAGUCUGAUUAGGAAUUGGAUUCCGGGAGGAAUGAAGCCGAAAAAUAAUGUUCUCUCGUAUCCAAAUUUACUGUGAAAAAAUGGAGUUUACUGUUGCAGCGAGCGCGUGGUGGUAGUUGCACAUAAUUGAAUACUCUGAAUUCACAUCCCCUACAACCCCAUGCCCGCGACUACAACGGGAGUCUACUGUAGAUGUUUCGUGGACAAUAACAACUGUGAGAGUCAAAUAAA